AGAGUUUGAUCCUGGCUCAGGACGAACGCUGGCGGCGUGCCUAACACAUGCAAGUCGAGCGGAGACAGUGAGUAGCUUGCUAUGAACUGUUUUAGCGGCGGACGGGUGAGUAACGCGUGAGCAACCUUUCCCAGACAGGGGAAUAACACACCGAAAGGUGUACUAAUACCGCAUAAGACCACGGUUUCACAUGGAACUGAGGUAAAAGAUUUAUCGGUUUGGGGUGGGCUCGCGUCCGAUUAGGUAGUUGGUGAGGUAACGGCCCACCAAGCCGACGAUCGGUAGCCGACCUGAGAGGGUGAUCGGCCACAUUGGGACUGAGACACGGCCCAAACUCCUACGGGAGGCAGCAGUGGGGAAUAUUGCACAAUGGGGGAAACCCUGAUGCAGCGACGCCGCGUGAGUGAAGAAGUAUUUCGGUAUGUAAAGCUCUAUCAGCAGGGAAGAAAAUGACGGUACCUGACUAAGAAGCCCCGGCUAACUACGUGCCAGCAGCCGCGGUAAUACGUAGGGGGCAAGCGUUGUCCGGAAUAAUUGGGCGUAAAGGGCGCGUAGGCGGCUCGGUAAGUCUGGAGUGAAAGUCCUGCUUUUAAGGUGGGAAUUGCUUUGGAUACUGUCGGGCUUGAGUGCAGGAGAGGUUAGUGGAAUUCCCAGUGUAGCGGUGAAAUGCGUAGAGAUUGGGAGGAACACCAGUGGCGAAGGCGACUAACUGGACUGUAACUGACGCUGAGGCGCGAAAGUGUGGGGAGCAAACAGGAUUAGAUACCCUGGUAGUCCACACUGUAAACGAUGAAUGCUAGGUGUAGGGGGUAUCGACCCCUUCUGUGCCGCAGUCAACACAAUAAGCAUUCCGCCUGGGGAGUACGGCCGCAAGGUUGAAACUCAAAGGAAUUGACGGGGGCCCGCACAAGCAGUGGAGUAU
rnacentral:rRNA from 1 species